UGGUUUGAUGAGACCUGUUUGGCAAGGUGGUAAUUAAAUCCUAACAGGCAGCAGCUGACCAGGAGUCACCUUGGGGCAAUGGGCUGGCUGAGGCCUCAGUAAUCGGGGUUGCAGGACUGGAGAGAAGUUCAGUGUUAGGAGAAGAGGAUAUAAACAGAGUGAAGCCCCACAGAGAUGAAACAAAGACUGCAGAUAUGAAAACUCUGAGAAACCUCCUUCUCCCUCAGUUGCACUGUUUGCAAGGCUUCCUGCUCCCUGGAAAACCACAUUCUCUCCUGCCUUGAUGAUACCAUGGGCUUUGUGGCUAUGGACAAGCACACUAAUGGUGUAGCCUUGGGGCAAGAUGUACUUGAGAUUUCAUGGACAGCUUACACUGUCAUAGAUGGAUGAAGAGGACAUAGCAAGCAUUUAUAUCUUAUCUCCAUGGGUUUGUAAACAUGGCCAAUAUUGUAUUUCCUGAAGUAGAAUCUUAGUCACCAUAGUUGCUUAUACAUAUUUUUUUAACCAUAGUUGCUCACAAUUUUUUAUCUCCAUGUGAGGUCAAGACCUUUGCUAGCAUAAAUUGAUAUUGCCAUAUUUAAAUUAAUUGAGCUAUGUCAGUUUAUACUGUGUAGGAGCUAGCUUUCGUACAAUUUUAGUUGUUAAUUGCCAGAGCAAUUGCACAUGUCCCUAUUUAUGAAAAGUUCU
rnacentral:lncRNA from 1 species